ACAACCAGGAUGUUGGCUUAGAAGCAGCCACUCAUUAAAAGAGUGCGUAAUAGCUCACUGGUCGAGUGACUCUGCGCCGAAAAUUUAACGGGGCUAAACUAUACACCGAAGCUUGGGAUACAUCUAAUGUAUGGUAGGAGAGCGUUCUGUAAGGGGUGAAGUCGUAGCGAAAGCGGCGGUGGACUUUACAGAAGUGAGAAUGCCGGAAUAAGUAGCGAGAAUUAAGUGAGAAUCUUAAUGGCCGAAAGUCUAAGGUUUUUGGAGGAAGGUUCGUCCGCUCCAAGUAAGUCGGGAGCUAAGGUCAGGCCGAAAGGCGUAGCCGAUGCACAUACGGUUGAUAUUCCGUAACCAUCUGUAAUUUAAGCAAAGGGACACUUCAAAAGGGUGUGACCCGGGCGUUGGUUGACCCGGGCGUAAGGGACCGAAAUUAGAGUAGGGAAGCACACUUGGCUGAAGGCGAGAAAAGCUUUGCGUAUAGAAGCAGAUGCCCGUACCGCAAACCGACACAGGUGGACAGGAAGAGAAUUCUAAGGCCAGCGGGAGAAGGGUAGUUAAGGAACUCGGCAAAUUGACUCCGUAACUUCGGAAUAAGGAGUGCUCGAAAGAGCCGCAGAGAAUAGGCCCAGGCGACUGUUUAGCAAAAACACAGGUCUCUGCCAAAUCGAAAGAUGAAGUAUAGGGGCUGACACCUGCCCGGUGCCGGAAGGUUAAGAGGAGGAGUGAGAGCUCCGAAUUGAAGCCCCGGUAAACGGCGGCCGUAACUAUAACGGUCCUAAGGUAGCGAAAUUCCUUGUCGGGUAAGUUCCGACCCGCACGAAUGGUGUAACGAUCUGGGCACUGUCUCAACUACCCACCCGGCGAAAUUGUAGUACCGGUGAAGAUGCCGGUUACCUGCGGCAAGACGGAAAGACCCCAUGGAGCUUUACUGUAGCCUGAUAUUGGGUUUCGGAAAUCUAUGUACAGGAUAGGCGGGAGACUAGGAAACAUGAGCGUCAGCUUGUGUGGAGUCGAUGUUGGGAUACCGCCCUUAGGUUUCUGGAAUUCUAACCUGCGGCCGUGAAUCCGGUCGGGGGACAUUGUCAGGUGGGCAGUUUGACUGGGGCGGUCGCCUCCGAAAAGGUAACGGAGGCGCUCAAAGGUUAGCUCAGCACGGACGGAAACCGUGCCUCUGAGUGUAAACGCAAAAGCUAGCCUAACUGCGAGGGUGACGGCCCGAGCAGUAACGAAAGUUGGAGUUAGUGAUCCGGCGGUAUGUGAAUGGAAAUGCCGUCGCUCAACGGAUAAAAGCUACCCUGGGGAUAACAGGCUGAUCUCCCCCAAGAGUCCACAUCGACGGGGAGGUUUGGCACCUCGAUGUCGGCUCAUCACAUCCUGGGGCUGUAUUCGGUCCCAAGGGUUCGGCUGUUCGCCGAUUAAAGUGGUACGCGAGCUGGGUUCAGAACGUCGCGAGACAGUUCGGUCCCUAUCUGUCGUGGGCGCAGGAUAUUUGAGGAGCUCUGUCCUUAGUACGAGAGGACCGGGAUGGACGUACCUCUGGUGCACCAGUUGUCAUGCCAAUGGCACGGCUGGGCAGCUAUGUACGGAACGGAUAAACGCUGAAAGCAUCUAAGCGUGAAGCCGACUCCAAGAUUAGAUAUCCCAUCGUAUAACGAGUAAGACCCCUUGAAGACUACGAGGUUGAUAGGCUGCGUGUGUAAGUGCCGUGAGGCAUUCAGCUUGGCAGUACUAAUAGGUCGAGGGCUUGACCAC
rnacentral:rRNA from 1 species